UUGAGCAAGAAAAUUCUGGGAAACAUGACAUAAAGGUGGGAAGACAAAAUAUAGUUGCACAAAGAAAUUAUAUUUAAUUUUGGUGACAUUGAAAUUGAAUUUGAGAAGAAAAAACAUGUACUUUCUUCGUUCUAUUUUAUGUGUCGCUAUUUCCAUUUUAGUCCGUCUCAAAAAGAAUAUCGCAUUUCCUUAUUUAAUAACUAUUUAAUGACAUCAUUUUCAUUUUAUUCUUAGUGGG
rnacentral:lncRNA from 1 species